CUAACAUGAUUCUGCCAACUGUGCAUAUUUUCUGCCCUUUUGAAAAUUCUCCUUUAGCGCAGAGUCACUAGUCAGUCAGUCACACACCUAUAAGGCCGCCGCCGCCACCACCUCCUCCUCCUCAACUUCCUUCCCUUUCUCAUAUCAAUCCUUAACUCCUAGAUUGUCCAAACUCGUGUCCGUACAGUACGAGGUUAGAAGACUUGGGCUGUCCAAUUCAGUUAACAAAAAUGUCCAGUGCUGCUGCUGCUGCAGCUACUUCUACUACAGUUCCUCCUCAUGGAGUAGAGGAAAAAACGGUGCAAGAAGAACUCUCUCUUCCGAUUUUACUGGCAGAUCGUGUCAUAAAAUCAACCCAAGAAGCUGAAUCUUCAAAGCAAGACUGUUCUGACUUAGCAAAACAAGUUGACCACCUUUCCCAAAUGCUCCGCUCUGCCGUCCGCCUUGCCAUCUCCACUCCUUCCCUCUAUGAUCGUCCUCUCCGCCGUAUCGCUUCCGACAUCACCAAAACCUUGACCGUGCACUAACUCUUGUCCGCAAAUGCAAGAAACAUAGUGAGUAAUGAUCCUAUUUUUGCUUGGGUCUGGUCUUCUAUUUCUUCUGUUCAAAUGGGUCAAGUUAAGGAUCGUGUUGAUGCCGCCAAUCAACUUGCUUCGUUAGCGCGUGAUAAUGAUAGGAAUAAGAAGAUGAUUGUUGAAGAAGGUGAGAUUUUUCCUUUGUUGAAGUUGCUUAAGGAAGGUGCUUCUGCAGAGGCACGAAUUGCUGCUGCCACUGCACUUUUUAAUAUUGCUAAUGAUAAACAUAGAGUCAGGUUGACUAUUGACGCGCUUGGGACUUCGAUGAUUUGUUGGGGUUUUAGAGGAUUCACCAAUGAAGGUUCAGUUUUCGGUGGCCAAUUUUGUGGCGAGAAUGGCAGAUUUGGACGAUAAUGCACAGGAGGAGUUUAUGAGAUUGAAUGUGACAAGACCAUUGAUGUCUUUGUUGUCUACUCAUUUGGAUUUGGAAGUAGUGAAUGACAAUCCUGUUAAAACUAGUAUUCCCUCACUUGUCGAAAUGAACAAACAAUUAGCUUAUAAGAAUAUUAAGGCUAAUUAUAAUUCGGACAGUAGUAGCCAUGGUGGUUCACAUAAUAAGAAGGAGAGGGAAAUGGAGACACCAGAGGUGCAGCUUCAGGUUAAGGUUAAGGUUAGUUGUGCUGAGGCAUGAUGGAAACUGUCAAAAGAGAGUUUGUCUAAUAGUAGAAAGAUUACGGAGAUGAAAGGUUUGCUUUGUUUGGCAAAGAUUGUUGAGAGGGAAAAGGGGGAUGCAGUUUAAUUGUCUGAUGACCAUUACAGAGAUCACGGCGGUGGCAGAGUCCAAUGCUGAUCUUAGACAUGCAGCUUUUAAGCCUAAUUAGCCUGGUGCAAAGGUGGUUUUGGAUCAGCUUUUAAGAGUGAUUCAAGAAGAAAGUAAUCCAAAGUUGCAGAUUCCUGCUAUUAGGUCUAUUGGUUGCUUGGCUCGAACAUUUCCUACAAGGGAGACUAGAAUAAUGAGGCCUUUGGUUUCUCAUCUUGGUAAUAGGAAUGCGGAUAUCGCUACAGAAGCUGCAAUGGCCUUGGGGAAGUUCGCAUGUCCAGAAAAUUUCAAUUGUUCAGAGCAUUCAAAAGCAAUUAUAGAAUUGGAUGGGUUCCCCCUUUAAUGAAAUUACUACGGUCUGGAGAUCAGCUCAACUACGGGGACUUGUAUUAUUAUGCUACCUUGCAUUGAAUGCUGGGAACAGUAAGGCUCUUGAGCAAGCACGCGCUUUGAAUGCUCUUGAGGGGACUGCUCGAUCUGUUUUAGCUCAACAUCCUGAUUUGAAGGAUUUGAUUGCCAAGGCCAUACACCUCCUCAUUCUUUAUCAUGCUGGAGCUACUCUCAAUAGACAGUCUCUGGCAUCAUGAUUACCACCGUUGCCAAAACAACUCAUCCUUGUGAGUGUUGUAAUAUACAUUAGACUAGAUUCUUAUAGUCAUUUGAUGAAAACUAAGUUGAUUAGGACAUGAUUGUUGAGUUAGAUUCAGUGCAUGCUUGAGAAAUGUAUCAGAUUUCAGUUCCACCUAAUUGAACUAGGUUUUCUAGCUUUACUGUUAA